AACGAACGCUGGCGGCAGGCUUAACACAUGCAAGUCGAACGCAUCCUUCGGGGUGAGUGGCAGACGGGUGAGUAACGCGUGGGAACGUGCCCUUCAGUUCGGGAUAACCCAGGGAAACUUGGGCUAAUACCGGAUACGUGCGAGAGCAGAAAGAUUUAUCGCUGAAGGAACGGCCCGCUUCUGAUUAGCUAGUUGGUGGGGUAAUGGCCCACCAAGGCGACGAUCAGUAACUGGUCUGAGAGGAUUAUCAGCCACAUUGGGACUGAGACACGGCCCGAACGCCUACGGAGUCAGCGGUGUGGAAUAUUGGACAAUGGGCGCAAGCCUGAUCCAGCCAUGCCGCGUGAGUGAUGAAGGCCUUAGGGUUGUAAAGCUCUUUCGUCCGGGACGAUAAUGACGGUACCGGAAGAAGAAGCCCCGGCUAACUUCGUGCCAGCCGCCGCAGUAA
rnacentral:rRNA from 1 species